AUUUAUAUAAUAUAAAAUAAUUAUAUUUAACUUCCAAUUAAAAAAUCUAGAAUCCUAGUGUAAAUA
rnacentral:tRNA from 1 species